rnacentral:rRNA from 1 species
GUUUGAUCAUGGCUCAGGAUGAACGCUGGCGGCGUGCUUAACACAUGCAAGUCGAACGAAGCACUUUAUUUGAUUUCCUUCGGGACUGAUUAUUUUGUGACUGAGUGGCGGACGGGUGAGUAACGCGUGGGUAACCUGCCUUGUACAGGGGGAUAACAGUUGGAAACGGCUGCUAAUACCGCAUAAGCGCACAGCAUCGCAUGAUGCAGUGUGAAAAACUCCGGUGGUAUAAGAUGGACCCGCGUUGGAUUAGCUAGUUGGUGAGGUAACGGCCCACCAAGGCGACGAUCCAUAGCCGACCUGAGAGGGUGACCGGCCACAUUGGGACUGAGACACGGCCCAAACUCCUACGGGAGGCAGCAGUGGGGAAUAUUGCACAAUGGGCGAAAGCCUGAUGCAGCGACGCCGCGUGAGCGAAGAAGUAUUUCGGUAUGUAAAGCUCUAUCAGCAGGGAAGAUAAUGACGGUACCUGACUAAGAAGCACCGGCUAAAUACGUGCCAGCAGCCGCGGUAAUACGUAUGGUGCAAGCGUUAUCCGGAUUUACUGGGUGUAAAGGGAGCGCAGGCGGUGCGGCAAGUCUGAUGUGAAAGCCCGGGGCUCAACCCCGGUACUGCAUUGGAAACUG